GGGGUGAUAGCUCAGUUGGGAGAGCGCUAGACUGAAGUGUACUUUAGUCCUUUCAAAUAUCUAGAGGUCGCCGGUUCAAUCCCGGCUCAUCCCA